CUCCAGUUGAUCGCAUGGUCUUCUGGGAAAGCUUUCGCGGUAUGGGAUGGGGUCGCGUCCUAUCAGCUUGACGGCGGGGUAACGGCCCACCGUGGCUUCGACGGGUAGCCGGCCUGAGAGGGCGACCGGCCACAUUGGGACUGAGAUACGGCCCAGACUCCUACGGGAGGCAGCAGUGGGGAAUAUUGCACAAUGGGCGCAAGCCUGAUGCAGCGACGCCGCGUGAGGGAUGGAGGCCUUCGGGUUGUAAACCUCUUUUAUCGGGGAGCAAGCGAGAGUGAGUUUACCCGUUGAAUAAGCACCGGCUAACUACGUGCCAGCAGCCGCGGUAAUACGUAGGGUGCAAGCGUUAUCCGGAAUUAUUGGGCGUAAAGGGCUCGUAGGCGGUUCGUCGCGUCCG
rnacentral:rRNA from 1 species